ACAUAGCAUGCGUAUUCGAUAAGCAUUGAAAUCAAAAAAGAUUUUUCCCAUUUUCAAUAUGGGCUUUUUUGUCAUGCUUAUUUUGCGUAUGCUAUACAACAAAACUAACGACGUAUAGACAUAGUAUAAAAACUAUGCCUUAAUUUUGUUGUAGUAUUAUAUGUAUAAAUGCAGGUCAAUGCUCAUGUUGAGAAUUGACCUGCAUUUUUUUG
rfam:Candidatus Stoquefichus sp. KLE1796 genomic scaffold Scaffold27, whole genome shotgun sequence.